rnacentral:sRNA from 1 species
GCCAUCGAAACAGCGAUGGUCGGGUGUGGAAACCCGACAUCUACAGGCGGACGGCCGCUUUCGCGGCUUUUUU